GCAGCACCUGUUUCCUGCAACC
rnacentral:miRNA from 1 species